CCUACGGGAGGCAGCAGUGAGGAAUAUUGGUCAAUGGUCGGGAUACUGAACCAGCCAAGCCGCGUGAGGGAAGAAGGUCCUGUGUGUUGUAAACCUCUUUUGUCGGGGAGCACAAGCGGGGACGUGUCCCCGUCUGCGUGUAUCCGAAGAAAAAGCGUCGGCUAACUCCGUGCCAGCAGCCGCGGUAAUACGUAGGAUGCGCGCGUUAUCCGGAUUUAUUGGGUUUAGAGGGUGCGCAGGCGGUCUGUUAAGUCAGCGGUAAAAGGCCGGGGCUCAACCCCGUCGCGCCGUUGAAACUGGCAGACUUGAGUGGGAGAGAAGUACGUGGAAUGCGCGGUGUAGCGGUGAAAUGCAUAGAUAUCGCGAAGAACUCCGAUGGCGAAGGCAGCGUACCGGCUCCAGACUGACGCUGAGGCACGAAAGCGUGGGGAUCGAACAGGAUUAGAUACCCGAGUAGUC
rnacentral:rRNA from 1 species